AAAACUUUCAACAACGGAUCUCUUGGUUCCCGCAUCGAUGAAGAACGCAGCGAAUGCGAAAAGUAAUGUGAAUUGCAGAAUUCCGUGAAUCAUCGAAUCUUUGAACGCACAUUGCGCCCUUUGGUAUUCCGAAGGGCAUGCCUGUCCGAGCGUCAUUG
rnacentral:rRNA from 1 species